GGAAAAGAAGGAAAAGGAGAGGAAAGGGGAGAGGUGACAGUUCCCUUUUCUAAAGGGGAGAGGUGACAGUUCCCUUUUCUAAAGGGGAGAGGGAGGGAGAUAAAGUGAUUGAGAAAAAAAUAAAGGGGAAAGGGGAAUUGAAAGGGGAUCUAUUGGAGGAUGGUUUUUACCCCUCACCCCUUUAAUGACUGAAAAGUGGAAAGGGGAAACGGAGAAGGGAACAUGUUGAAGUUACUCUAAGGAUGAAAAUAUUAGGGAGGCACCUAAUAUAUGUUAAUGGAGUAAACACUAACACAUAAAGAUAUUUUUUCUUAUUCCCUAAGAUUUUUUAAUAAAAAGAUAAGAUCAUGAGGAGCCUUAUGGUCCUGGUAAAUUUAGUUUUGUUCUAAGAGAAUUUUUUUUAAAUUUUAAUCAAAUUUAUCAAAAGAAGUAUUAUCUCAGUUCAGAGAUCACAUAUACUAGAAUUUCUAUGAUAAAUUAAGAAGGAAGGAAAAAGACUUUCACACACCCCUCAUUCAAGCCCCACGCCUAGCUUUUGAAUCGACACCAUUUGUGUUUGCUCCAUUUGGCAAUAUUUUAACCAAAAAGUCCAUGUCAACUUGCUCCAUAAUCAACAAAGUCCAUGUCAACUUGCAGAUAUUUAUCCUUGUGGUACGUAAGUGAAGCCCUCUGGAAAUAGAAGAAUACACAUAAAUUAGAUGUCUAAUUUACGAAAAUAACCAAGUUCUCAGGUAAGUGGAAAAAUUAGCAAGAUCAAGUAUAUGAAAUUGUAGAUUUAAAAGACAAGUAACCAUCAUGUCACGAACAAUCUCAUGGAAUUCAUUAUUUUCUUUGUAUAUAUAAUGAAGCAUUACAAAUUUCCUAUCCUUUAUGUCUACUACAUAUACGAACCAAUGGUCUUGAAAACAGGUCGGGAAGAAUAACUACACCAGAAAUAAAAUGAAUUAUAUUAUGAGAAAUAAUAAAAUGUAACACUCAAAGUGAAAGAAAGAUGACAAAGGAAGAAAAUAACCAUGUUAGAAUGAUGAAGGGGCCGAGCCUUGCUAGACCGCCUAAAAGCACGAGCCAAUACACCCUUCAUCAAAAUCCUAUGCUUUAUCAAAAUCUUUCAAUAGAUUUUCAUGAAAACAACAAAAAAAACUUGAUAAUGUGAUUCACUGAUUAUAAAUUAAUACUCAAAAA
rnacentral:lncRNA from 1 species